GCAGCCCCGCCCUACCCCUGCUCAUCUGGCACUGCAGCGGGGACAAUGACCCUGGCUCAAGAACUGUGUUGCUAGGCCUUGCAUGGAACCUUCAGCAUCACCGCUACCCCCUCCCUGGUCCUCUUCUCCCCUGACCUCCUUUCCAGCUUCAUCCUAACUCCAGGAUGAUCUCGAAAUACACCUGGAAGUCCUGGAAAUCCCUCCGUGCCUCCAAACUGUCCCGAAAGACCGGGCCUCCCCCUAACCGCAGUGGGACAGGCACUGCCCCCCCACCCUCUGACCACAGCCCCUCUCCCAAACCCUGGCGCCUCAGUGCCUUGUUCUACGAAGGCCAGGCAAGUACCAAGUCCACACCGCUCACGCUGUUGGGAACCGAUGGCUCCUGCUCGUCCCCCCCCCCCCCAGCCCCACAGAGCCACUGCACCACCUGCUGAGGAGCCAGGGUGACAGGGACGAUGCUGAAUGGGGACGUCUCCGGUCCUGGCUCCUGGAGACCCAGCAACGCCCUCUGCGUGGGAUUCUCGAACCAGAGACCCCCCUCGGCCCACCAGCAGCCUUGGUGACACAGGGGACUCGCACCUGCCACCUUGUCCUUUCCAACUGCUGAGGACUUCUGGCAACAGCCGGAUUUGGAGAGGGCCAAGAAUAAAUGCAAAACCUACCUUCUGUGGCCUCUGGCUGCCUGGCACACUGGUUCCCUUCUGAGACUUGAACCAUCGCCCCCCAGUUUCCAGGACUUGGCCCAGGGACCAGAAGCAAGGAGACCUAUGACAGAGGCACAGUAAAAGAUGAGCCAGGGGUCCCUCAGUCUGAGAAGCCCUGCCUUCCUGGUGGGACAGGUGCAGGGGCCGGGGCCAGGCACCUGCUGCCAGUCCAUCAGCGCUGAGCUCUCAGGUACAACAUUUUGGAGGCCCCAGCGAGAUAUGGAGACCACUUCCCGGAAGACCUCGCUGCGAUCCUUCCAGGUUGGUGCUCUGGCCAUAGGGGAGGCGCCCCCUGAUGAUGUUCCAGGGCCCCGUGUCCCGAUCAUCGACCUGGGAGGCUCGGCUCGACCUUUUCACCGACCUAUUGGCCUUAGGUCCUCUGGUAAGUCGACUCCUGUUUUCUGGUGGCGCCUUCUGGGUAUUGGAGGUCUGACAAGACACCAAUACAGUCUCCGUUCCGUUUGAGCGCGACGGCGUUAGGACGGGAGACUCUGGUCUGGUUAAAGAAAGGCCUGUCCUGGAUGUACUGGUUUCUGUUCCUGUCUCGUGGCCACUUUCUGAUGCACCGUCUGGGAGGUAAACUCUUCUCCCUGUGCUGCCUGUUUGUCUCCUUUAUUCCCUUGUCUCUGGAGUCUCUGUUCCUUCCCUGAGCAUGGGCUCUGCUCAGUCUAAGGGACACCUUUUCAAUGUAAAUUUUCUCUCUUUUAAAUCUAACAAGAUUGCUGCCUUAAAAAUUGCCUGUAACUUGCCAACGUUUUGUGGCUUGGUUUUUAUAGAUCUGGUUAAA